GUGGUGUGGUGAAGAUCUCGUCGGCUUCUUCAGCACAACUCACUCGUUAUAACAUUGAUUGCUACUCAUUGUGUGUCACUUGAGCAAUAAUUUUCCCGGUUUUAUAAGUAUUUAUGGGAAUUGCUGUUGAUUGUGUGUUAAAAAAGUGCGUUUAUUAGUCUGAGUAACUGAUUAAACUUGAACACGGAUUUACUAUGUCUGAUGACCUCCCCAUGGUGCUGACCUCCCCAUGGUGCUGACCUCCCCAUGGUGCU